GCGAGUAUUCUAUUGGCUAGGCAUUCUGAUUCGCAAUGCGAAGGUCGGGAGUUCGAUCCUCCUCCGCUCCA
rnacentral:tRNA from 1 species